rnacentral:rRNA from 1 species
AUUGAACGCUGGCGGCAGGCCUAACACAUGCAAGUCGAGCGGAUGAGAAGAGCUUGCUCUUCGAGUUAGCGGCGGACGGGUGAGUAAUGCCUAGGAAUCUGCCUGGUAGUGGGGGACAACGUUUCGAAAGGAACGCUAAUACCGCAUACGUCCUAAGGGAGAAAGCAGGGGACCUUCGGGCCUUGCGCUAUCAGAUGAGCCUAGGUCGGAUUAGCUAGUUGGUGAGGUAACGGCUCACCAAGGCGACGAUCCGUAACUGGUCUGAGAGGAGGAUCAGUCACAAUGGAACUGAGACACGGUCCCGACUCCUACGGGAGGCAGCAGUGGGGAAUAUUGGACAAUGGGCGAAAGCCUGAUCCAGCCAUGCCGCGUGUGUGAAGAAGGUCUUCGGAUUGUAAAGCACUUUAAGUUGGGAGGAAGGGCAGUAAGCGAAUACCUUGCUGUUUUGACGUUACCGACAGAAUAAGCACCGGCUAACUCUGUGCCAGCAGCCGCGGUAACAC